UGGGGAAUAUUGGACAAUGGGCGAAAGCCUGAUCCAGCCAUGCCGCGUGUGUGAAGAAGGUCUUCGGAUUGUAAAGCACUUUAAGUUGGGAGGAAGGGCAGUAAGCGAAUACCUUGCUGUUUUGACGUUACCGACAGAAUAAGCACCGGCUAACUCUGUGCCAGCAGCCGCGGUAAUACAGAGGGUGCAAGCGUUAAUCGGAAUUACUGGGCGUAAAGCGCGCGUAGGUGGUUCGUUAAGUUGAAUGUGAAAGCCCCGGGCUCAACCUGGGAACUGCAUCCAAAGCUUGCGAGCUAGAGUAGGGCAGAGGGUGGUGGAAUUUCCUGUGUAGCGGUGAAAUGCGUAGAUAUAGGAAGGAACACAAGUGGCGAAGGCGACCACCUGGGCUCAUACUGACACUGAGGUGCGAAAGCGUGGGGAGCAAACAGG
rnacentral:rRNA from 1 species